GCCAGAGGUGGCGAUCGUUGUUCGGAAUCACUGGGCUUAAAGGGCGAGUAGGCGGUAGGGCAAGUCUGAGGUGGAAUCCUAUGGCUCAACCAUAGAACUGCCUUGGAAACUGUUCUACUUGAGUCAGUGAGGGGAGGGCGGAAUUCCCGGUGUAGCGGUGAAAUGCGUAGAUAUCGGGAGGAAGGCCGGUGGCGAAGGCGGCCCUCUGGCGCUGUACUGACGCUGAGGCGCGAAAGCGUGGGGAGAAAACAGG
rnacentral:rRNA from 1 species